AACGAACGCUGGCGGCAUGCCUAACACAUGCAAGUCGAACGAAGUCUUCGGACUUAGUGGCGCACGGGUGCGUAACGCGUGGGAAUCUGCCCUUGGGUGCGGAAUAACUUCUCGAAAGGGAUGCUAAUACCGCAUAAUGUCGUAAGACCAAAGAUUUAUCGCCCAAGGAUGAGCCCGCGUAAGAUUAGCUAGUUGGUGGGGUAAAAGCCUACCAAGGCGACGAUCUUUAGCUGGUCUGAGAGGAUGAUCAGCCACACUGGGACUGAGACACGGCCCAGACUCCUACGGGAGGCAACAGUGGGGAAUAUUGGACAAUGGGCGAAAGCCUGAUCCAGCAAUGCCGCGUGAGUGAUGAAGGCCCUAGGGUUGUAAGCUCUUUACCAGGGAUGAUAAU
rnacentral:rRNA from 1 species